GCUUGAACUUGAAUGCACUAAAACUACAACAAUGGCUGUUGUCCAAGGCAUGGUGGAUUGGAAGAAAAGACCUAUUGACAAAGACAUACAUGGUGGAAAUAGAGUUGCAAGAUUCAUCUACUUUUUGGAGUUGGUGACGAGCAUAACGUUCGUAGCAACAAUAUUCAACAUCAUCACAUAUUUUCUCCAAACCAUGCACAUGGAUGUAGCGAUGGCGACAACAACCGUGACAAAUAUCAUGGGUACAUCUUGCGCAUUUGCUUUGGUCGGAGGCUUCUUUUCAGAUUCAUAGAUAACUAGGUUUACUGCAAUACUGAUAUUUGCUCCCUUUGAGUUCUUGGGGUUUGGAUUAUUACUAGCUUUGCAAGCACAUUUUCCUUCACUUCAACCACCACCAUGCGACAUGUCUGCAAUAUCUAGCAGCUGCAAACAAGUUACCGGUUACAGAGCCGCUAUUCUUCACAUAGGGCUAUACCUAUACACCUUUGGAGAAGGUUGUCUACGAGCGAACCUUGUGUCUUUAGGUGGAGAUCAGUUUGAUGACGACGACCCCAAAGAGUUAAAACAAAAGUCUAGUUUUUUCAAUUGGUUCACUCACAUUCUACAUGUCACUUGGAUCUAUUGUAAGUCUAACACUACUAGUAUGGAUUCAAGACAAAAAAGGAUGGGAUCUUGCUUUCACUGUAUCAGCUGGUUUUAUUUUAGUAGGGGUUGUUGUGAUCGCUUCUGGUUUCUCAUUUUUCCGCAACAUAAUACCAACUGGCAGCCCUUUAACUAGGAUGUUGCAGGUUCCGGUGGCUUCAUAUCGAAAACGCAAUCUUCAGUUUCCGGAAAAUGAUGAGGAAAUUUACUUAGAAUAUAACAAGGAAGAGAAUGUUGGGGAAGUACUCCCACG